GAUGAACGCUGGCGGCGUGCUUAACACAUGCAAGUCGACGGUUAAGCCCAGCUUGCUGGGUUGAUUAGUGGCGAAAGGGUUAGUAACACGGUAGUAACCUUCCCUUUACUCUGGGAUAAGCCUGGGAAAAUGGGUCUAAUAACGGGUAGGAGCGUCCACCGCAUGGUGGGGGUUGGAAAGAUUUAUCGGUUUUGGAUGGACUCGCGGCCUAUCAGCUUGUUGGUGAGGUAAUGGCUCACCAAGGCGACGACGGGUAGCCGGCCUGAGAGGGUGACCGGCCACACUGGGACUGAGACACGGCCCAGACUCCUACGGGAGGCAGCAGUGGGGAAUAUUGCACAAUGGGCGCAAGCCUGAUGCAGCGACGCCGCGUGAGGGAUGACGGCCUUCGGGUUGUAAACCUCUUUCAGUAGGGAAGAAGCGAAAGUGACGGUACCUGCAGAAGAAGCACCGGCUAACUACGUG
rnacentral:rRNA from 1 species